GCCUUCAUCGCUCGAUUCCCCUUCCUCUUCCUUCUCCCUUCUCGCGUGAUGUCGAGCCACAGCCGCCCCAACCCGACGUUGAUGACCUCUUUAUCUUCCCCAACCGGCGCUGCUUCGUUUCCUCUUCUCCCUCAUGACACAACCUGUCGGCCAAGGGAGAUCAGGCACUUUUGUUCCCUGUUCUCCCAAUUUCCUUCUCUCCCGAUUCCUCUCCAUCUUCCUCGUGUCUUCCUCGCCACCGUCAGUCACAGGCCGAGCGAGAGUGCCCUAGGUGUCGCCCUCUCCCAUUGCAUCGCUUCGUCAUCGCACGGAGCAGCGCUGACGCCCCUACAGCUGAGCGCCGAUACCAAUCCAUCACCAACUGAUUUCCUCUUCGCCGAGCCCUAGUUUUGAUUCACCGAUCCUCCCUUCCCUUCGUGCUACCACUGACCCCCAUGGCCGACGCUUGAUCGCCGCUGAGCACCAUCUGAGGGACAACUCGUCGACACCUUUUUUUUAUCCAGCUGACUGUUACUGAUCUACCGACGCUAGCAUUUUCAGGCACGAGCAAGGAGUACCUGUGCUCUGCCUAGUUUGGUGAGGAGGAUCACUAUCAGAGCAGUGUUUCCUUUAUGGAAUUAAAGAGGAGAACACAAGCUCCUCAUAGCUACGGAUUUGUUUUGGGGUUAGUAGCUGAUGGAGGUAUGGGCAGCAGUAGGCACCAUCAGUGAUUGUCGGCUAUGGGUUGCCCUCUGAUCAUAAGCUACUAGUGCAUCUAGAUUGGGUUGAAGCUGUCAAGAGGUUCCAGUCGCUAGUCCCCCACUAGGUGUCGAGAUGACUUUCUGGUUUCAAACUUUCUUUGUUUCCUUGUUUUGUUAUGUCUACAUACUUAUGAUGUGUAGUUCUUGUACUUAUGGAUUUUUAUAUCGUACUUCGGGUAUGAUGCCCAUGUUUUC